GCUGGCGGCAGGCCUUAACACAUGCAAGUCGAGCGGUAGAGAGGUGCUUGCACCUCUUGAGAGCGGCGGACGGGUGAGUAAUGCCUAGGAAUCUGCCUGGUAGUGGGGGAUAACGCUCGGAAACGGACGCUAAUACCGCAUACGUCCUACGGGAGAAAGCAGGGGACCUUCGGGCCUUGCGCUAUCAGAUGAGCCUAGGUCGGAUUAGCUAGUUGGUGGGGUAAUGGCUCACCAAGGCGACGAUCCGUAACUGGUCUGAGAGGAUGAUCAGUCACACUGGAACUGAGACACGGUCCAGACUCCUACGGGAGGCAGCAGUGGGGAAUAUUGGACAAUGGGCGAAAGCCUGAUCCAGCCAUGCCGCGUGUGUGAAGAAGGUCUUCGGAUUGUAAAGCACUUUAAGUUGGGAGGAAGGGCAUUAACCUAAUACGUUAGUGUUUUGACGUUACCGACAGAAUAAGCACCGGCUAACUCUGUGCCAGCAGCCGCGGUAAUAC
rnacentral:rRNA from 1 species